rnacentral:rRNA from 1 species
CAGUCGCCGCGGUAAAACGAAGGGUGCAAGCGUUAAUCGGAAUUACUGGGCGUAAAGCGUGCGUAGGUGGUGAGUUAAGUCUGCUGUGAAAUCCCCGGGCUCAACCUGGGAAUGGCAGUGGAUACUGGCUCGCUAGAGUGUGUCAGAGGAUGGUGGAAUUCCCGGUGUAGCGGUGAAAUGCGCAGAGAUCGGGAGGAACAUCAGUGGCGAAGGCGGCCAUCUGGGACAACACUGACGCUGAGGCACGAAAGCGUGGGGAGCAAACAGGAUUAGAUACCCCCGUAGUCCCUGUCUCUUAUAC